rnacentral:rRNA from 1 species
GAACGAGUAAAGCCCGCAAGGGUGAGUAAAGUGGCGUACGGGUGAGUAACACGUGGGUAAUCUACCUCUGGGUGGGGAAUAACCCUGGGAAACCGGGGCUAAUACCGCAUAAGCCUGGAAAGGGAAAGGCGAAAGUCGCCGAGAGAGGAGCCCGCGGCCGAUUAGCUAGUUGGUAGGGUAAAGGCCUACCAAGGCGAUGAUCGGUAGCCGGCCUGAGAGGGCACACGGCCACACUGGCACUGAAACACGGGCCAGACUCCUACGGGAGGCAGCAGUGGGGAAUCUUGCACAAUGGGGGCAACCCUGAUGCAGCGACGCCGCGUGAGCGAUGAAGCCCUUCGGGGUGUAAAGCUCUUUCGGCUGGAACGAUAAUGACGGUACCAGCAGAAGAAGCUGCGGCUAACUACGUGCCAGCAGCCGCGGUAAUACGUAGGCAGCGAGCGUUGUUCGGAGUUACUGGGCGUAAAGAGUGCGUAGGCGGCGGCCUAAGUCUGGUGUGAAAUCUCCUGGCUCAACUAGGAGGGUGCGCCGGAAACUGGGUUGCUGGAGUGUGGGAGAGGCAAGCGGAAUUCCUGGUGUAGCGGUGAAAUGCGUAGAUAUCAGGAGGAACACCUGCGGUGUAGACGGCUUGCUGGACCAUGACUGACGCUGAGGCACGAAAGCGUGGGGAGCAAACAGGAUUAGAUACCCUGGUAGUCCACGCCCUUAAACGAUGCAUACUUGNUGUGGGCAGUUCAUUCUGUCC